rnacentral:rRNA from 1 species
GAUGAACGCUGGCGGCGUGCCUAAUACAUGCAAGUCGAGCGAACGGACGAGAAGCUUGCUUCUCUGAUGUUAGCGGCGGACGGGUGAGUAACACGUGGAUAACCUACCUAUAAGACUGGGAUAACUUCGGGAAACCGUAGCUAAUACCGGAUAAUAUUUUGAACCGCAUGGUUCAAAAGUGAAAGACGGUCUUGCUGUCACUUAUAGAUGGAUCCGCGCUGCAUUAGCUAGUUGGUAAGGUAACGGCUUACCAAGGCAACGAUGCAUAGCCGACCUGAGAGGGGGAUCGGCCACACUGGAACGGAGACACGGUCCAGACUCCUACGGGAGGCAGCAGUAGGGAAUCUGCCGCAAUGGGCGAAAGCCUGACGGAGCAACGCCGCGUGAGUGAUGAAGGUCUUCGGAUCGUAAAACUCUGUUAUUAGGGAAGAACAUAUGUGUAAGUAACUGUGCACAUCUUGACGGUACCUAAUCAGAAAGCCACGGCUAACUACGUG